AACCCCCAACUGAACAGAAGAGGAAGAACCUCACCAUUCCCAUCUGAGCUGCAAGAGUAUGGGCCAGCAAAUACCCUUUCACACCUCUCUUAGGGCAGCAAUAACUGAAUCAAUACCAAUACAGCUGCAGCAGAGAGACUCUGCUAUAUUUGGAUGAGCUCCCUUGGACCUGUGCAAGCUACCUGUCCGUAUACCUCAGCCGUGACAGGGAGGAUCACACUGUUAUCAGGCCAUUGCUCAUUUAGACCAUACGGACAGCUGUCAUCCUGCAUCCCACCCACCUUUGGGUCUUUGGCUGGGUCCAAGCUGGUGACUUGGGUCCUGCCUGUAUCAGGGGAUUUGACAGAAAGCUGGCCCCAGUGCAAGCCCUGACCCUGUGCUGGGAGGAGAUGUUCAUACUUUGCUGCCUGGGUGCAAGUACUGUCUCAAGCCUUCCAUGGGGUACGAGGCAGGAAACCUUCUGCAGCAGCAAUGUGGGCCAGGAUAUCUCCAAUGUGAGCUAGUCACUCAAAGGUUCCCUUUCUGGGAGGGAUACAACAAUCCCCAGGUGUCUGGUGAGAACCUGAUUGGCCUCAGCAGGGCCCGUCGCCCACACAACGCGAUUUUUGUGAACUUCGAUGAUGAAGAA